GUGGGACGCUAGGUACCGAGUGGUUU
rnacentral:piRNA from 1 species